AAUUGGGUAUUUAACUAAAUUGUGCACCCGACAUUUGUCAAAGCACUAAAAAGGAAAA
rnacentral:ncRNA from 1 species